AUUGAACGCUGGCGGCAUGCCUUACACAUGCAAGUCGAACGGUAACGCGGGGCAACCUGGCGACGAGUGGCGAACGGGUGAGUAAAGUAUCGGAACGUGCCCAAUAGUGGGGGAUAGCCCGGCGAAAGCCGGAUUAAUACCGCAUGAGACCUGAGGGUGAAAGCGGGGGACUCGCAAGAGCCUCGCGCUGUUGGAGCGGCCGAUAUCAGAUUAGGUAGUUGGUGGGGUAAAGGCCUACCAAGCCGACGAUCUGUAGCUGGUCUGAGAGGACGACCAGCCACACUGGGACUGAGACACGGCCCAGACUCCUACGGGAGGCAGCAGUGGGGAAUUUUGGACAAUGGGCGCAAGCCUGAUCCAGCCAUGCCGCGUGCGGGAAGAAGGCCUCGG
rnacentral:rRNA from 1 species